GCUGGCAUGGCUCAGUUGGUAGAGCAAUUGAUUUGUAAUCAAUAGGUCGCGGGUUCAAAUCCUGCUGCCAGCACCA
rnacentral:tRNA from 1 species